AAUUCAAGAGAUGCCGGUGCAAAUGGGUAGACUAAAAAGUUUGAGAACAUUGACUACUUUUUGUGUGGGGAAAUCUAAUGGGUCGACUAUUGGAGAAUUGAGGGAGUUGUCUCAUCUUGAAGGAAAACUUUCUAUUUUGAAGCUUAAUAAUGUAGUUGAUGGUAGGGAUGCCUGGCGAGCUAAUUUGAAAAACAAGAAAGAUCUCAAGGAGUUAGAGUUGGCAUGGAGCUCCGAAGAUGCCGAUCAUUCCGAAAAGGUGAGAGAUGUACUUGACAAGCUCCAACCUUGCAUGAAUUUGGAGAAAUUGACCGUCAAAUUUUAUUGUGGGACUAGCUUCCCAAACUGGUUAGGAGACUCUGCCUUCAAUAAAAUAAAAGUUAUGCGCCUCGUAGGCUGUCAUUAUUGCUUCGAGUUGCCACCGCUUGGACAGCUACCUGCUCUUAAGGAGCUCUUCAUACGCAAGAUGAAAUUUCUUAGGACGUUAGGUCUUGAGUUGUAUGGUCAGCCAUUUCAGCCAUUUCAAUCGCUGGAGAAGCUGGAGUUUACGGAGAUGGCAGAGUGGGAGGAAUGGGUACCAAGUGGGAGUGGAGGUCCAGACUUUCCUCGUCUCCAGGAGCUAAUUCUAGAAAUGUGUCCGAAACUGAGAGGAAGCUUGCCUUGUGAUCUGCCUUGCUUGAAGAAGCUUAGCGUGGAAGGGUGUGGAGUUUUACAUGAUCAAAGAGCCACUGCUACUACUAGUACCAAUCUCAACUACAAUUCUCUUCAAGAAUUGGAAAUAGAAGAUGGAUGCCAAACAAGUCUGUUAUCAUUACUAGAGACAAAACUCCUGUCCCGACUUAGGAUUAGAAAUUUUAAUGACAUACAAUGCUUGCCCAACAUCAAUCGUCUUCAAAGUUUGAGUCUCUGGAAUUGUCCAACCCUGUCGUCGUUCCCUGAAGAUGGCCUACCCACUUCGUUGACUUCACUUUACAUAGAAAGUUGUAGGAGAUUAGAAUUCCUACCUCAUGAGAUGUUGGCCAAAUUAACAUCGCUCCACUGUUUGAGUAUAUGUAAUAGCUGUGAUUCAAUGAGGUCCUUCCCCUUGGGCAUUUUUCCUAAAUUGACGACACUUAUGAUUGGCAAUUGUGAGAAUCUGGAAUCGCUUUGCUUGAUUGAAGAAGAAGGAGCGGUUGAGAAUCUAAAUCAUCUCAAUGAAUUGGAUAUCUCGGGGUGUCCAAAUCUUGUGUGUUUUCCGCAGGGAGGAUUGCCCACUCCCAACCUGACUCGAUUGGAGUUCCGCAGAUGCGAUAAGUUAAAGUCAUUACCUGAACGCAUUCACACCCUCACAGCCCUUCAAGAUUUGGAUAUAAGAGAUCUUCCAAAUCUGGAGUCAAUUGCAGAAGAUGGGGGUUUGCCUCCCAACCUCCGAGAUUUUAGCAUUUAUAAUUGUGAGAGACUGAGGGCUUCAUCUUCAUCAGUGGGAGGAGACUACUGUAACUGGGGUCUGCAAGCACUUGUCUCCCUUGAAGAAUUUAUGAUUGGUGGCAGGGGAAGUGAUGAAAUCUUGGAGACGUUGCUCAAGCAACAGCUGCUCCCUACCACUCUUCACGCUCUCUGGAUCAAGGAACUUUCAACUCUGAAAUCUUUGGAUGGAAAGGGACUUGCACACCUUACUGUUCUUCGAAGUCUAUAUAUUAAUAGUUGUAAGAGUCUGGAAUUCCUUCCAGGAGAGGCACUUCAACACCUCACUUCUCUUCAAGAGCUACAUAUUAAAGACUGUCCGAGUCUCCAAUUCCUGCCAGAAGAGGGUCUGCCGCCAUCCCUUUCUUGUCUGAGAAUCUACAAUUGUUCUAGCCUGGAGAAAAGGUAUCAGAAUAAGACGAGACAAGAUCAUUGGAUCGAGAUAAAUGAUGAAUUCAUCAUAUGAUGAUAUGACCUCUCCCUCUCUCUCUCACAUAUAGACAAACAAACUCAGGUCAGGCACAAAACUUGCAUUCGUACUUCCGUCCCAAUUGGAAUGCCGUCUCGUCUUCUGUAUACUCUUGUAGUUCUGAUCACAAAAUUUGCUUGACAAAUCGAAAGUCGCAAUUAGAUAUUUUUGUGGAAGAUCUGGAGACUUGUGAAACUUUUCCGUGUUUGGAGGACAAAGCAACUUGUGUAGGCAACCAUGCCCAAGGAGAGUUUACCAUUGUAUAUGGAUUUUUGUUUUUCUACAAACAAAUUGCGGCAAAGAAGGGGAAGGAAAUGUUCUCCAGGUGGUGCUCUAGCAAGGAAAUGUUCUCAAUCUAACAUAACAAGCAUCACAUGUCCAUUCAUGAUUAGAGUGGGAGGAAUGAAGACCAGAAGGCCGGUGUCCAGAUUUUCCUCAUCUCAAGGAGCUGACUUUAGACAAGGUGUCUGAAGCUAAGAGGAAGCUUGCCUUCUCAUCUUACUUGCUUGAAAGACUUAGCUUGUUGUCCGGGUGUGGGGUUCUACAUGAUGAAAGGGCCACUAAUACUCGUAACAUGGACUACUUAUCUCUUGAAGAAUUAGAAAUAUAUGAUGGAUGCCCAGGUCUGUUCUCGUUACUAGAGACAAAGUUCCUGUUCGUGUUCCUAUUUGAUACGUGCCAUUUCCAAUUGAAAAACUUUUCAGGAGUAUCUUAUUGAGCUGAGAUAUGCAUGAAAAUGGAAAGCAAUCGAUUUGAAAUCCUCACUGGCGUCUCAAAAUCUGAUGAGGAACAAAAGUAUGAGAAAACACAUGAAGUGGGGAGGAAUGAAGACCAGAAGGCCGGUGUCCAGACUUUCCUCAUCUCAAGGAGAUGACUUUAGACAAGUGUCUGAAGCUAAGAGGAAGAACGACCCUAUCAUCUUCCAACAAACUCAAGAACACUGCAUGCUUUGAUGAGUUGAAGUUGAAGUUGAAGAGUUAGAGAAAGAAUGAAAGCUGUAGCAGAAAACAUAGGGCUGAGAUCUCUCCAAGGUGAUUGUGGAGAGGUUUGCCAAUUGACCUUAGUGAUAUCGAAAAAGAAAAAGUUUGGUUUUUGAUAUUUGAAAGUAGGCACCUUUAUAUUCUUAGCACUAGACCGUUGCUCCGAACCACCCCUACAAACAACCCCAAAAAAAAUGAAAAAACCAUUCUUGUAGUUACCAUAAUCUUAUGCCAUUCAUCUGAAAUUUGAGAAUUCACAAGGUCCCUUGAACUCACUUCUCUUCAACAGAUACAUAUUUAUGGUUGUCUGAGUCUCCAAUUCCUGCCACAAGCCUCUUUCUUUUCUGAGCAUCUCCAGUUGUUCUGCCCUGGAGUAAAGUUAUGAGAAUAAGAGAGAAGAUUGGGCUAAGAUAUCUCACAUUCCUUGCAUCUUCAUAGGCCAAGAAGUGAUCAUAUGAUAUGAGCUCGUUAUCAAACAAAGUUUUUGCUUUUCGACAUUUCACUCUCAAGUCAAAGUCAGGCACAUAGCAUCAAGUUUCUUUCCUGUCACUGCCCGAGGAGAGUUUACUGUUGUAUAUAGAUUUUUGUUUUCCUACAAACAAAUUGUGGCAAACAAAGGGGAAGGAAAUCUUCUCCAGGUGGAGCUCUAGCAACAGACCAGCAUUUGGACAAUGUGGUGAAGAGAUCUGAAUCUAGCAUAACAAGCAUAACAUGUCUAUUCAUGAUUAGGUUAUCUUUCAUCAUAAAAUUCCUGUCUGUAGGAGUAUUUUAUUGAGCUGAGAUAUGCAUGAAAAUGGAAAGCAAUCGAGUUGAAAUCCUCAUUGUAUAGCUAUUAGACUUGGCUUUUCAAAAUCUGAUGAGGAACAAAAGUAUGAGAAAACACAUGAAGACUCUCUGCGUAAGAUUCCCAAUGGGAACUACCCCAACUUGACCCAAUUUGGCAUGCAUUGUGUAUUUUGAGAUUUCAAGGUAACUGCUGCUAAUGGAAGAAAACUAAAGCGUAUUGCAUGCUCUUUUAAGGUAGAAUGACCUUAUCAUCUUCCAACAAACUCAAGAAAUGCAUACUCUGAUGAGUUGAAGUUGAAGAUUUCGAGAAGGAAUGAAAGCUGUAGCAGAAAACAUAGGGCUGAGAUCUCUCCAAGGUGAUUGUGGGGAGGUUUGCCAAUUGACCUUAGUGAAAUCAAAAAACAAAUCUCUUUGAUCGGAGCUAUCUUGUCCUGCAGAUAGUUCAUUUGUGUUUGGAGGGGCGGCCUUCAUCUGAUCUGACCGCAUGGAAAAGCUCUCUUUGUGUUGAUGAAGAAUUCUUCAUCUCAAACAAGAUAAACUGAUGUUAAACCCUGGGGGGCACAUCUUCGUUUGGUUUUCUUGCAAGAAAACUUUAUCGGAUGAUGAUGAUGUUGUUGAAAGUUACUUUCUAUGUAAUGCCAUAUGCAGCCAGUUUGUUGGCCUUUGUCUAUGAUUCCUUCAAAGACAGCCAUGGAUUGUGUACUUAAACUGUUAAAGCUCGUAUUGUUGAAGUUCAAUUUCCUCUUGUCCCACAUUGAAAGAUUAUAGCUUUGUCUAUGAAUCC